GAAGGGGGCCUCGCGGGUCGGCUGCGAUUCUCGGCAUCUCCGCGGCCUCGGCGGGGCUCUCCGGAGACCCGGGGAGCUUCCGAUGGCCUGUCCCUGCUCAAAUGGAAAAGCUCCAGCCUGGACGGACUCCCCCCACGCCGCCUAAACUUUGCUCAAAGCGAAGGAAGCCCUCCACUCCGGGAAGCCCCCCCCGGGGGCGGAGUCGGCCCCGAGGUUCCUCCCCCGGCCGGUCCUCCCUAAAAAUCGGCCCGCAGUUACGGCGCGCCUCUGGCGCCCCCGGCGUCGCGCCGGUCCGGGAAGCUCAGUUCGCGGAGACGACGGGGGUUCGGGGUCGGGGCGCUCCCGGGGGGAGGGUGCAAAGACAUGCUGCGUGAGAGAGAGAAAAUAUGGUAAAAGAGGUACAGCAGAUCAAUUCAGAAAACCCAGAAGACUCAACAGUUGUGAAUUUGUAAGAUUGGAGAGGAAGCUAUGCCCAGCUGAGAAGAGGAAGCAAAAGAAAGGAGCAGAGAAAAGUAGUCUGUGAGAGAGCUUGGAGUAAAGCCAGGAGGGACUGCAAAAACACAAGGAAGGCCAUUUUUGAACCGGACGCUCAAGUGACUAAAGAGUCAGAAGCACUUGUUUGAGGAUGCAAGGGGUGGGAGUAGGUUUUUGUGCUUGUUUGAGAAAGCAGAGAAACAUUUCAGAGCCUAAUAAAUUGGGAUCUAGGUGAAAA